rnacentral:misc_RNA from 1 species
UUAAACCCCCGCCCACUCUGACCCCCCCCUUCCCUUUCCCCCCCCCCCCUGCACCCCCUCCUUAGCCUGUGAAUUGCUAGUAUUAGCUACAGAUUCAGGCACAUUGACUGUUCCGCGACUCAAUCCCCCAUACUGCUGCCCAAAAGAAGAUGAAAAAGGCGCCGGAGAAGGGCUAGCGUGAGGGGCAGGAACACCAAUAGCAACACCACCCCUUUGUUGCGAUGCAGAAAUGGAAGGCGAAGCAGACGAUGACAAGGAAAGGGCAGAGGAAGCUGGAAGAGAAGAAGACGGCGAAGUGAUUGAGGAGAAGUGCGGGAAGUGGGAAUGUGGAUGAGGAUGCUGCCAUGGUCUAUGCAAUGUCUGGGGCCUAGAGGCAGAAGAGUGAGGUUGAGAUUGGGAUGGGGUAGAGGUUGAGGGUCUAGGG